GACAGAGGGUGCAAACGUUGUUCGGAAUUACUGGGCGUAAAGCGAGUGUAGGCGGUUCGAUAAGUCGGAAUGUGAAAGCCCCGGCUCAACCCGGGAAGUGCACUCGAUACUGUCGAGCUAGAGUAUCGGAGAGGUUGGUGGAAUUCUCGGUGUAGAGGUGAAAUUCGUAGAUAUCGGGAGGAACACCUGUGGCGAAGGCGGCCGACUGGACGAUAACUGACGCUGAGACGCGAAAGCGUGGGUAGCAAACGAGGA
rnacentral:rRNA from 1 species